rnacentral:rRNA from 1 species
GAUGAACGCUGGCGGCGUGCCUAAUACAUGCAAGUCGAGCGAACAGACGAGGAGCUUGCUCCUCUGACGUUAGCGGCGGACGGGUGAGUAACACGUGGAUAACCUACCUAUAAGACUGGGAUAACUUCGGGAAACCGGAGCUAAUACCGGAUAAUAUAUUGAACCGCAUGGUUCAAUAGUGAAAGACGGUUUUGCUGUCACUUAUAGAUGGAUCCGCGCCGCAUUAGCUAGUUGGUAAGGUAACGGCUUACCAAGGCAACGAUGCGUAGCCGAACGGAGAGGGUGAUCGGCCACACUGGAACUGAGACACGGUCCAGACUCCUACGGGAGGCAGCAGUAGGGAAUCUUCCGCAAUGGGCGAAAGCCUGACGGAGCAACGCCGCGUGAGUGAUGAAGGUGUUCGGAUCGUAAAACUCUGUUAUUAGGGAAGAACAAAUGUGUAAGUAGCUAUGCACGUCUUGACGGUACCUAAUCAGAAAGCCACGGCUAACUACGUG